rnacentral:tRNA from 1 species
GCCAACAUAGCUCAGUUGGUAGAGCACAUCCAUGGUAAGGAUGAGGUCAUCGGUUCGAUCCCGAUUGUUGGCU